rnacentral:rRNA from 1 species
UACAGAGGGGGCAAGCGUUGUUCGGAAUUACUGGGCGUAAAGGGCGCGUAGGUGGCCUUCUAAGUUGAACGUGAAAUCCCUGGGCUCAACCCAGGAACUGCGUCCAAGACUGGGAGGCUUGAAUCCGGGAGGGGGAUGCGGAAUUCCAGGUGUAGCGGUGAAAUGCGUAGAUAUCUGGAGGAACACCGGUGGCGAAGGCGGCAUCCUGGACCGGCAUUGACACUGAGGCGCGAAAGCCAGGGGAGCAAACGGG